ensembl:lncRNA LINC01896 long intergenic non-protein coding RNA 1896
GGCAGGGGUCUGAGACUACUUUUGAGAAGAGAAACAACGCAAAACGAUCGCUGGAGGGCCAGAGCCCUGGUCGAAGGUGCCCUAGCUUUUAUGACCUGGUUAAUUGUGUCUCCUUUUUAUUUUUAUUUUUUUCCUUACCACUACUACUACUACUACUUUUAUUUUUUUUUAACCGAUACACUUUGGAGAGAAGAAGCAGACACAGGUUCCCACGGCGUCUGACGCCUGCGGAGCAAGUCCAGAGCCAGCUGGACUCGCAGCCUCUGGCCCGGCGGCACCAACUCCUCACUGGGUCAUUUUGAGCGCGCUGUGCCCACCUUUUCUGUUGCGUGUGGACGUGGGGAGGAUCUUCUAAGUCCCUCCAACGAAGGCAAGUGUGAGACUCUGGCCCUUUAUUUGUAAGAAGCAAGCCUUCAGAUUGCAGAAGUGUCGCGCGGGUCGCCGUGCGUUGCGCGAGUGGGAAGAUGGAGG